rnacentral:lncRNA from 1 species
ACGUUAAAACUUUAGAAUCAGGUGGGAGGUGGUGGUAGUCACAGAACAAAUGGUCAAAACAAAGAUCUUACAAGGUUAGAAGCAUAGGACUUUAUGUUAGGCCAUAUUCACCCCAAUCCUGGGCAUGUGUAGUUUGCUAUUUGGUUUUCCUGGCAAGCCUGAGAAGGUGGUGGUUAUACAUAUACAGUUCCGAGUCUCCAGGUCACACCUAUACCUCUAAGAGGAGCUGUUUAUUUCCCCAUCCCAGUGAACUGGUAACUCAAGUUGGAAACUGUGUCUCAUUCACAAUUACAGAUGACUUAAUAAUAACAACACGUAAAUCCCUAGAAAUAAGACUUCGAAGGAGGAUCAUCACUAUUAUUUACUCUACGCCUGCCCAAGACCUCCCUCAGUUCCUUGUCUGCAGGCCUAAACAUCUGAGCAGAGAAAAUAAAAGCAAAGAGUUCCCUAAAAUGCCACCAUACAGAAGGUUCAGAGAGGCCCCUGCAAUCAAGCACAUCCCUGGCACCUCUUCAGUGGAAGCUCCUCUGACACCCAUCAAGUUGGUCGUCAUUAAUGCCUUAUUCCCAUCUUCAUUGGCUCCCUGGCUGCACCCUUUGGCUUUAAACUCUCCUAAAGAUGGCUGUCCUGUUAUGAAGGCUGCUUGCUAACUGUUUAAAGUCUGCUCGGAUCUUCUAUUAUGGGCAUUCUGUCUUGUCAGCUCAUCUGACGUCAACCAGCAUGAACCACGUUAAUAGCUUGCAUUGCCUCUUGAUCACAUAAGCCCCUCGAACUUUUAUCUGUAUAUUGUCCUAGAGAACAUGAGGCACGGAUCCUCUCUUUUCUUUAUCUCCGUGCACAGUUUCCUGAUAGAGAGAAGCAGAGAGCUCAGUGGGUACAGCUCUGGGGAUGUAGCUGAAUUGUUGAUUUGGAUGAAACUUGAAC